rnacentral:rRNA from 1 species
CAUUACCACACCAAAAAAACUUUCCACGUGAACCGUUGUCUGUAUGGUUUUGUACUGCUGCUCGCUCUCGGGCUUGAGUGGCGGUUAAACAAUGCUUACGUUGAUUGAUUCGCUUCGGCUGAGUCUCCGUGAGUGCCCUUUUUAAACCCCUUUCCAUACCUCAUUUUCUGAUGUAUACUCCGAGAACGAAAGUUCUUGGUUUGAACUAGAUAACAACUUUCAGCAGUGGAUGUCUAGGCUCGCACAACGAUGAAGAACGCUGCGAACUGCGAUACGUAAUGCGAAUUGCAGGAUUCAGUGAGUCAUCGAGAUUUUGAACGCACAUGGCACUUUCGGGUUAUACCUGGAAGUAUGUCUGUAUCAGUGUCUGUUGUAAAAACUUGCCUUUUUUGUGUGUGUUUUCCUUUUGGAGAGCGCGUGCGAAAGAUGUGCAGAAUGUGAAGUGUCUUGCUUUGCGGCGAGUCCUUUUAAAUGCAGUUUGCUUCUGUGCGGUUGGAAGCGCAUGUUUGCCUCGAAGGAGGUGAUCGUGUUUGACUUGCACGUAAGGUUGACUUCAGCUAGAACGCUGUAGGCAAUGCCCAAUGAGUGGUAUGUUGUGCACUUGUGCUCGACUUGUUACUGGUUGGUGCGCGGUCUGUUUUAGUGGGGGUCCUUUGUGUGUAUGUUGGGUGCGGUUGCUGCUAUUACUUCUGGGCGUGGCGUGUGUUUUGGACUGCGCGUUUUACAACGGAGGCCUAUUUGGGAAACGAGUACCUACCCGGUGCUUUACUUCAAAUUGGACCUGAUAUCAGACAAGAUUACCCGCUGAAUUUAAGCAUAUCAAUAAGCGGAGGA